UACGUAGGGGGCAAGCGUUGUUCGGAAUGACUGGGCGUAAAGGGUGCGUAGGCGGCGCUUCAGGUCAGCGGUGAAAUACCGGGGCUCAACCCCGGGGCUGCCGUUGAAACCGGAGCGCUAGAAUUCCGAUGCCGUCGGAGGAAUGUGUGGUGUAGCGGUGAAAUGCAUAGAUAUCACACAGAACACCGAUUGCGAAGGCAUCUGACGAAUCGGAGAUUGACGCUGAUGCACGAAAGCGUGGGUAUCGAACAGG
rnacentral:rRNA from 1 species